CCUACGGGAGGCAGCAGUGGGGAAUAUUGCACAAUGGGGGAAACCCUGAUGCAGCGACGCCGCGUGAAGGAAGAAGUAUUUCGGUAUGUAAACUUCUAUCAGCAGGGAAGAAAAUGACGGUACCUGACUAAGAAGCCCCGGCUAACUACGUGCCAGCAGCCGCGGUAAUACGUAGGGGGCAAGCGUUAUCCGGAUUUACUGGGUGUAAAGGGAGCGUAGGCGGCGAUGCAAGUCAGAAGUGAAAGCCCGGGGCUCAACUCCGGGAUUGCUUUUGAAACUGUGUUGCUAGAGUGCAGGAGAGGCAAGUGGAAUUCCUAGUGUAGCGGUGAAAUGCGUAGAUAUGAGGAGGAACACCAGUGGCGAAGGCGGCUUACUGGACUGUAAAUGACGCUGAGGCUCGAAAGCGUGGGGAGCAAACAGGAUUAGAUACCCGAGUAGUC
rnacentral:rRNA from 1 species